CCUACGGGAGGCAGCAGUGAGGAAUAUUGGUCAAUGGCCGUAAGGCUGAACCAGCCAAGUCGCGUGAAGGAAGAAGGAUCUAUGGUUUGUAAACUUCUUUUAUAGGGGAAUAAAGGUAUCCACGUGUGGAUAUUUGCAUGUACCCUAUGAAUAAGCAUCGGCUAACUCCGUGCCAGCAGCCGCGGUAAUACGGAGGAUGCGAGCGUUAUCCGGAUUUAUUGGGUUUAAAGGGUGCGUAGGUUGUUUUUUAAGUCAGCGGUGAAAGUUUGUGGCUCAACCAUAAAAUUGCCGUUGAAACUGGAAGACGUGAGUGUGUUUGAGGUAGGCGGAAUGCGUGGUGUAGCGGUGAAAUGCAUAGAUAUCACGCAGAACUCCGAUUGCGAAGGCAGCUUACUAAGCCAUAACUGACACUGAAGCACGAAAGCGUGGGGAUCAAACAGGAGUAGAUACCCGUGUAGUC
rnacentral:rRNA from 1 species